UAAGUUCACUGUAUGAAGGGAACGAGCGCUCUCCAUUUAUGUCUGCUGCAUCUCAAACGACGCCGUACUGAGUAGAAUUCAGGAGUUCCGAGUUCCUGUAGUUCGAUUACUGAGAAAAAAAAAAAAAACUGUUCUCGAAACCCUACUUCCAGUGCUUAAUUCUCUUAGGUCGCUGUUCAUAUUUCAUUUGCUUCAUCAGUUACUGCUAAAGAGUUUAUCGAGGAUAGAGGAUUUGAUUCUCUGGAAAAAAAGUUUCCAAUGUUGGACGAAAGUAAGUUUGAUGUUCAUCUCAAGUUGUUGGCACUUAGAAUCCCGCGUGAACUAUGCAAGCUCGUCACUCGUAUACUCAACGGAUACUUGCUUGAUAAGCCCCGUGUUAAACCUAUUACUGAAGAUCCAACAUGUGAAAAAAAUCGUUACAUGAUAUUAUCUGAAAGGGUUGGAGAUCCUGAUUUAUCAGAAAUUCCAGAACAGAAACUUGAUGAGCUGAGGAAGUUAUGCAAGAUUGAAGUGGUUCCUUACUCCUUGACACUCGGAUAUUCCUACUGGACUGCAGAUCACAUAUUGAAGCAAAUUCUGCCUUUUGGAGUGGAGAUACCUUCAUCCUUUGAAACGAUAGGUCGUGUUGCCCAUCUAAAUAUACAUGAUGAACUACUUCCCUUCAAGGAUGUUAUUGCAAAGGUUAUUUAUGAUAAAAAUUAUCCUAGAAUCAGAACUGUCGUCAAUAAAGUUGGGACAAUUACAAAUGAGUUUCGAGUGCCAAAGUUUGAAAUUUUAGCUGGAGAAAAUAACAUGGUUACAGAAGUGAAGCAAUAUGGGGCAACAUUUAAGCUUGACUACAGCUUGGUUUACUGGAAUUCAAGAUUGGAGCAUGAACACAUACGGCUUAUAUCUCAGUUCCAUCCAGGGGAAACUAUUUGUGAUUUGUUUGCUGGUAUUGGGCCUUUUGCUAUUCCAGCAGCACAGAAAGGAUGCUUAGUUUAUGCAAAUGAUCUAAAUCCAGACAGCAUCCAUUAUUUGAAGAUCAAUGCAAAAAUAAAUAAGGUCGAUGAUCUUGUUUGUUCAUAUAAUAUGGAUGCUAGGAAAUUCAUUUCUCAGUUGCUGGCAGUGCCAAUUUGUGAAAUUAAUUCAGAGGCAGAUAUUUCCAUGGUCAAAGCUUCUGAAGAUUGCAGUAUGUUAAUAAAUGGUGAAACAAGGGGAGAGAACACGAGAGUCAGUGUUAAGGAAAAGAUAAUAGAUGGUGAAGCUGCAAAUGAUGCGGAGUGCUUGCAGAAUUCCUGUAGUGAGACAGAUGCAUCUGCUGCAAUGAAAAGGCCAUCACAUAGUUGUCUGGAAGAAAAUGGAAAUGCUAAAACUGGUAUUAAGAGGAGGGGAAGCACUACCAAGAGGAUGAGAGCCUCUGAGUUGUCAAAAGCUAAGCCCUGGGAGCAUGUUGAUCAUGUUAUAAUGAACCUCCCUGCUUCUGCUCUGCAAUUUCUUGCGGAUUUUCUUCAUGGAGAUUGGAGAACUUUACUGAUUGCUAUCUCCUUCAAAGUACUAAAUAUAAGUUUUCACUAACUUGUAAAGUUGGUUGUAUCAUUUCCACACUCUUUUUGGAUAUGAUUUAAAAUUCAUUGAUUUGCUGCAAUUUGUUAUGAUGCAGGAUGGAUUAGCUAUAAAUUUCCUAAAUAGACUAGAAAUCAUAAUUCUAUUAUAUAAAACUAUUGUAUUAUUUAGGAGGCUACUAUUAUAGUUUUAAUAACUUUGGGUUUUAUUUUUGUUAGUAUUUAGUUUUUCUAUUUGUACUAGUAGUGUUAUUUCCAAUUUUGUUAGUAUUAGAAUUUUUGACCCCAUUGAAAGUACUAUUUGUGAUCUUAUUAGUCUUAAUAUUUUUUAGUCUAGGUUUACUUAGCAGUCUAAAGUACCUUUGCAACCUCUUUGAUAUUAUCAUUUAGUUAUUCAAUCGAAUAUUGCGAGAGUUUCUCAAUUUUGUAUCAACUCCUCUAGAAUGAUGCUGAAGAUUUGUUAAAUAUGAUAUAAACAAAACACCAGUUUGAUGUGUCUCCGCAAAUAAUUUUUCCUCCAUCAUGUUAGUUCUGUUUUAAUGUCAUUCUCUCUUGUAAAUGUUCUUUUAGGUGCUUCUUUCAUUAGAGAAGCUGGCCUCAUUGGUCUUAUUUAUUCAUCUGGGGAUAUUUGCACCUUUCUGCUUCAAGAUUGAUGCCCUUUCUUGGUAGCAGUGUAAUUCUGUUAUGCAAUGAUGACCCUCUAAAUUUUGUUUACGUGGAGUAGCCUCUUUUGUUCGACUUCUGUUUCUCGCUGAGAAAAUUUAGUCGAGGAAGUAUUAAUUUUGAAAAUUUUCAUCAGAUGCAUUCAGUGGCCUUGCUCAGAGGAAAUAUUGGAAGGGCCCUCUUCCUUGGAUUCAUUGCUACUGCUUUAUCCGGGCUAAUGAAUCCGAAGAAUAUAUAAUAUUGGAGGCAGAAUCAAGGCUAAAUGCCCGGGUAGAAAACCCAAUAUU